rnacentral:lncRNA from 1 species
UUCUCCAAAGUGAAGUCACCGGAGAGCGAGGCGAGGAGCGGCGUGCCUAAGGGGCGGCAGCCCCGAGCAGAACCUUAGCCUGGCAGAAAACGAUUAUAUGAAGCCUAGAUUGGAAAGGCAGCUUGGCCUCAAACUGUGUGAGAAGGUGAAUCAGAUCAGGUCAGUGUAAGGAGCAUGAAAUAGGGUGGAACAAUAAACCACCAGAGGGCAGUGUGGAGCCA